AUGUCAUUUUCAAUCCUAGCAGAAUGGAGAGUGGCUCCUAACUGCCCAGACUAGAGCUAUAAGCAAGGGGACCGUCUGUUCCGAGGGAUGGCUGUUGCCACUCUGGACUUGAGCAUUCAGCCCCAGGGAUGCCCCUAUCCAGUGCCAGCUCUGCCUCCCAAGCAGUGUUGUAGAAUGAAACCCGACCCUAACUUCUCACCUUGGUGUUUCUGUGAAGCACAACCGACCCGCGUUUUCUCUGUGGUUAGAGGUUAGCGUGUAUCUAAAGGCCCCCACUGCUCUCAGGGGGGCUGAGGUGUGAAGUGCUGAGGACUGAACCCGACUUCUUGGAUGUUAAGCACAAUGUGCUAGCCUACGCUUUCAAAGUGGUGUGCUCCUGCAAGGCCCUUGCUGAAUCUAGCUAUUCUCUGAAUUUAUUGUCUAGCUCAGGAUUUCAGAUCCCCUUUCCAGUGAUACCCAGAUUUGAUUUGAUUGCCCGUUUUGGUCCAUGUUGGUAUAGGUUGGAAUGGUGAGCAAUAUCAGAGAACCAUGUUUUCUCUCAGGACACUUUCUGUGCUGGGGUAGCACAGGCUGUCAUGCUCAGCAUAGGUGCUCGCUCUGCUGCACUAGUCCUUCAAAGUCGUGGCUUAAAGAUUUUAAACUUCUGUCACCAUGUUGUUUCUGGGAUGACAUCACUGGCCUCAGGGUCUCCUGUCGCUUGGCUCCUAACACAGCACUUUACCCUUCCUCUUCUCUUCCCAGGAAGUUUUCAUCUCCCCUAACUUAAUUUUUGGUCACCUCCUUUUCCUUCCGCUCUUCACAAAGGAUGUGACUAUGCCUGGGCCCCUGGCAGUCCUUGGGGAACCUUGUUUUUUAAGCCAUUACACUGAGUCAAUAAUGUAAAGAAAGAAAAAGGUAUUAGACUAGUAAUAGUCCACUAAAUGCUAUCACAGUUGAGAGAAACCAAGCUGUUUCCCUAAGAGUAAGCUAUGCUCACUAAAGAUGCCUUUACAACAGGCCUUAUGGCACAGGCCUGAAGUCCCAGCUCCCUUGGAGCUGAGGCGAGAGGAUUACAAGUUAUAGGCUUGCUCCGUAACCAGUCUGAGACUGCUCUGGGCACCUCAGUGCAACCCUCAACACUUAAGGAGAAGUUAGAAGACAGCACUCAGUGGCAUGUCAGGCCCUAGACUCAGUCCCCACACUAAAGCAAAGCAGACAACUCCAGCUCUCCACACAGCUGGUCUCUGACACCUUGGGGGACACAAGGGCCCUAGCUAUGGAGUGCGUAUUCCACAGACACCUAUGGUUACCUUGGAUACUGCCAAAACUCUUAAAUACAUGGACUUUUACCUCAGAAACUUGUCUUCAGAUAUCCUGUUAAUCUUCAGUUUUUGUUUGUUUUUGUUUUUUGGAGGAAGGCCUUCUCUCUAUGUAGCUAUGGCUGUCCUAGAAUUCACUCUGUAGAUCAGGCUGGCCUCAGACUCACUGCCUCUGCUUCUCUAGUAUUAGGAUGAGAGGUGUGCAGCACCACCACCACCCGGUAAUGUGGGCCUUUCUUACUAAGGGGCUUCUAUGUUCUGAAGUUCCAUCUCUGUGAAAACAUUAAUAUAUUUUAAAUCCUUGGGAUGUGCUCUGGUACAUGGUGGGUGCUGUGUGUUAUCACUAUUACAUGAAGAACAUCUGAAUCACAGAAGUCCUUGCAAAGUGUGCCUUAAAUUUCUCAUCAUUUAAGCUUUUUUUUUUUUUAAUACACUGAAGUCAGCAUUCAUAUGAAGGCUCCCUUUUUGAAAAAAGUCACCUUGUCCUGAGAGUCUCUGGCCAUCGUUUUUCCAGCACCUGCCAUUUUUUAUUCUGGGGACGUUUUCUGGGUUUACUGACAUCAUUACUUUGUUGCUUAGAAAGCUGUUCUGUGAGCAACAUCUGUCUCAUUCCUUCAAAGCUUUUCCAAAACAGUUUAGCUUAUUUUCAAAAUAAAACUGCUGGGCAUGAUAUUCUGUAGGGUUCUUACCUGGCACAGCCCAAGUUUCUUCUGGGGCCUCUCUGGCUCUUUGCAGUACACACUUCAAAACCCCAAGCACUGAGUCACUCCAUGCUAGCUGCUCGCCACCACACAUGGAGGGCUUGUGCCGCUGCCCAGCUCCUGACUGGCUCCUGAGGCUUCCCCAACUGUGUGUGCAAUAAGGUUACUGCUUUAUUACUGGACAGAGCGUGGUAUCCCAGAGAGGAGCAUAAAUAAAUUGAACUGUGGAGUGUAAUAAGGGAGGGAAAUAGCAGUAUUAAUACGAGCCGGCUGCUAUUUACCUUCAUGUCCCCCUUAAGCCCCAACUGCUUUUGUCAAAGCCAGUGUUAAUUUUAAAACAGCCUAACAAAAAUGUAUUGGGUAUUUCUAAUUCUUACUCUGUCAAGAUAAUUAUAUAAAUGUAUGACCAGCAUUAAAGUACUUUAUUUAGAAUGGAUUGUUACCGAGUGAAAUGAGGGACAGCAUCUCGGUGACUCCUCUGUGUAGUAAUAAAAACCUUUGAUUAAAUAGUU
rnacentral:lncRNA from 1 species